rnacentral:pre_miRNA from 1 species
CAACUACUCCCUCUGUCCCAAAUUUCUUGUCUUAGAUUUGUCUAGAUACAGAUGUAUCUAAUACUAAAAUGUGACUUGAUACAUCUGUAUCUAGACAAAUCUAAGACAAGAAUUUUGGGAUGGAGGGAGUACUUU